AAGUAAGAGGAAAAGAGAGCUUUUGUUGUUGUUGCGUUGGAGAGGCAGGGGCGAGUGGAGUGGCCGGACAGCGGUGGCUCAGGUGGUGAUGGUUGUAGUGGCAAGGGCGCGCUUGCUGCUGCAACCAACUCUGUUUCCGAUCGCCAAAUCCACCACAAUUCAAUUCAAUGCAAUUAAAAAGAGAGGCUUUCGUUUCGUUUCUUUUCCUUGGAUUUAAUCAAUAUAAAAUUCCUAAAUCACAAUCAGCUUCUUUAGCAUUGUGCUUCUUUGGCCUUGCCCAUAUGGCCAUUUAGUAUAUAGCAUAUGCUCUCUCUCUCUCUCUCUCUCUCUCUCUCUCUCUCUCUCUCUCUCUCUCUCUCGGUGUUUGUUUUUUGUCCGAGACAUUGGUGAUUUCCUAGAAGCCUCCAAAAAUUCCACGCGCGUUUGCCCCCACUUUUGUGUUUGCAUUCCUCAUGCUUAGAACAUGUCGACUUUAAUUGCUAGCAUUGCCAUCGAUCAAAUUCCUUUUCCCCCCCUUCUAAACGAGUGAUUGUUGUGCUGCAACAGUAAAGUUUCAAACUUGCAGUGCUUCCAUUGUGAUUUUUGAAGAAGACAACGUUCCACUACAUAUUAAACUUUGAAGCCGAUCUUCCAGUCCGGUCAGUGAUGUCGCUCAAAAAAAUAUUUCACGAGCUACUGGAGCUUAGAGAUGACAUGGG